rnacentral:misc_RNA from 1 species
AGCCUCGUCGACUACUGGCGCUUCACGCAGGACGACGUGCUGAUCCAUGCGCUGCCGAUCUAUCACACGCAUGGCCUGUUCGUGGCGAGCAAUGUCACGCUGUUCGCGCGCGCAUCGAUGAUCUUCCUGCCGAANGCUCGAUCCCGAACUGAUUAUCAAGCUCAUGCAGCGCGCCACCGUGCUGAUGGGCGUGCCGACCUUCUACACACGGCUGCUGCAAUCACCGAACCUGACGAAAGACUCCACCUCGCCCAUGCGGC